rnacentral:rRNA from 1 species
UACGGAGGGGACUAGCGUUGUUCGGAAUUACUGGGCGUAAAGCGCACGUAGGCGGCUUUGUAAGUCAGGGGUGAAAUCCCGGGGCUCAACCUCGGAACUGCCUUUGAUACUGCAAAUCUCGAGUCCGGAAGAGGUGAGUGGAAUUCCUAGUGUAGAGGUGAAAUUCGUAGAUAUUAGGAAGAACACCAGUGGCGAAGGCGGCUCACUGGGCCGGUACUGACGCUGAGGUGCGAAAGCGUGGGGAGCAAACAGG